UGAGAUCUCCAAUAGAAUUUGGUAACUCUCUUAUCUUGCUAAGAUGCAUGUCUAAGGAAUUCAAUCUUUUAAGAAAUCCAAUAGAUGCAGGCAACGCAAUAAUCUUUGUAUAGGACAAGCGUAAGUACCUUAAUGACUCUAGUCCUCCAAUGGCAUUUGGUAGCUCCCUUAUUUGAGUCUCAUCUAGGUCCAAUUCCUCCAAGCUUUUGAGAUCUCCAAUAGAAUUGGGUAACACUCUUAUCCUGCUUGAAGGCAUUAAUAAGCGCUUCAAUGAUUCUAGUCCUCCAAUGGAGUUUGGUAGACUCCUUAUUUUAGUGCAUCCCAGGUGCAUUUUCUCCAUCAUUUUGAGAUCACCAAUAGAAUCAGGUAACUCUCUAAUUCUUGUGUCGAACAAAUCUAAUUUGAGGAGCAAUCUCAAUUUCCCAAUAGAAUCAGGCAUUUCGGUAAUCUCUAAAUUUGAUAAGCCUAAGUAAAGCAAAGAUUCCAGUCCUCCAAUGGAGUUUGGUAGCACCGUUACCUGAGUUUGUUCCAAGUUCAUCUUCUCCAAGCUUUUGAGAUCUCCAAUAGAAUCAGGUAACUCUCUUAUCUUGCUGUGACUCAUUUCUAAGGAAUUCAAUCUUUUAAGAUAUCCAAUAGAUGCAGGCAACGCAAUAAUCUUUGUAGAGGACAAGCAUAAGUAUCUUAAUGACUCUAGUCCUCCAAUGGCGUCUGGUAGCUCCCUUAUUUGAGUUUGCGUUAGGUUCAAUUCCUCCAAGCUUUUGAGAUCUCCAAUAGAAUUGGGUAACACUCUUAUCUUGCUUGAAG
rnacentral:lncRNA from 1 species